rnacentral:rRNA from 2 species
UACGUAGGGUGCGAGCGUUAAUCGGAAUUACUGGGCGUAAAGAGUGCGUAGGCGGUAACUCAAGUCAGAUGUGAAAGCCCCGGGCUUAACCUGGGAUGUGCGUUUGAAACUAAGUUACUAGAGUUUGAAAGAGGGGGGUAGAAUUCCUGGUGUAGCAGUGAAAUGCGUAGAUAUCAGGAGGAAUACCAAUGGCGAAGGCAGCCCCCUGGUUUAAAACUGACGCUGAGGCACGAAAGCAUGGGGAGCAAACAGG